ACCGGGCACUGUGGUGCGUGCCUAUAGUCCCAGCUAUGCCUGAUGCUGAGGUGGGAGGAUCACUUGAGCCCAGGAGUUCUGGGCUGUAGUGCGCUAUGCCAGUCAGGUGUCCAUACGAAGUUUGGCAUAAAUAUAGUGACCUCCCAGGAGCAGGGGACCACCACCUUGCCUAAGGAGGGGUGAGCUGGCCCAGGUAGGAAGUGGAACAGGUCAAUACUCCCAUGCUGAUCAGUAGUGGGAUUGCGCUUCUGAAUAGCCACUGCACUCCAGCCUGGGCAACAUAGCGAGACCCCCGUCUCU
rnacentral:SRP_RNA from 1 species